AGUGAACGCUGGCGGUAGGCCUAACACAUGCAAGUCGAACGGCAGCACAGUAAGAGCUUGCUCUUACGAGUGGCGAGUGGCGGACGGGUGAGGAAUACAUCGGAAUCUACUUUUUCGUGGGGGAUAACGUAGGGAAACUUACGCUAAUACCGCAUACGACCUACGGGUGAAAGCAGGGGAUCUUCGGACCUUGCGCGAUUGAAUGAGCCGAUGUCGGAUUAGCUAGUUGGCGGGGUAAAGGCCCACCAAGGCGACGAUCCGUAGCUGGUCUGAGAGGAUGAUCAGCCACACUGGAACUGAGACACGGUCCAGACUCCUACGGGAGGCAGCAGUGGGGAAUAUUGGACAAUGAGCGCAAGCCUGAUCCAGCCAUACCGCGUGUGUGAAGGAGGCCUUCGGGUUGUAAAGCCCUUUUGUUGGGAAAGAAAGGCAGCAGGUUAAUACCCCGCUGUUCUGACGGUACCCAAAGAAUAAGCACCGGCUAACUUCGUA
rnacentral:rRNA from 1 species